UUAAGCGACUAAGCGUACACGGUGGAUGCCCUGGCAGUCAGAGGCGAUGAAGGACGUGCUAAUCUGCGAAAAGCGUCGGUAAGGUGAUAUGAACCGUUAUAACCGGCGAUGUCCGAAUGGGGAAACCCAGUGCAAUUCGUUGCACUAUCGUUAACUGAAUACAUAGGUUAACGAGGCGAACCGGGGGAACUGAAACAUCUAAGUACCCCGAGGAAAAGAAAUCAACCGAGAUUCCCCCAGUAGCGGCGAGCGAACGGGGAGCAGCCCAGAGUCUGAAUCAGCUUGUGUGUUAGUGGAACGGUCUGGAAAGUCCGACGGUACAGGGUGAUAGUCCCGUACACCAAAAUGCACAGGCUGUGAACUCGAAGAGUAGGGCGGGACACGUGGUAUCCUGUCUGAAUAUGGGGGGACCAUCCUCCAAGGCUAAAUACUCCUGACUGACCGAUAGUGAACCAGUACCGUGAGGGAAAGGCGAAAAGAACCCCGGCGAGGGGAGUGAAAAAGAACCUGAAACCGUGUACGUACAAGCAGUGGGAGCACCUUCGGGUGUGACUGCGUACCUUUUGUAUAAUGGGUCAGCGACUUAUAUUCUGUAGCAAGGUUAACCGUAUAGGGGAGCCGCAGGGAAACCGAGUCUUAACUGGGCGUUAAGUUGCAGGGUAUAGACCCGAAACCCGGUGAUCUAGCCAUGGGCAGGUUGAAGGUUGGGUAACACUAACUGGAGGACCGAACCGACUAAUGUUGAAAAAUUAGCGGAUGACUUGUGGCUGGGGGUGAAAGGCCAAUCAAACCGGGAGAUAGCUGGUUCUCCCCGAAAGCUAUUUAGGUAGCGCCUCGUGAACUCAUCUUCGGGGGUAGAGCACUGUUUCGGCUAGGGGGUCAUCCCGACUUACCAACCCGAUGCAAACUACGAAUACCGAAGAAUGUUAUCACGGGAGACACACGGCGGGUGCUAACGUCCGUCGUGAAGAGGGAAACAACCCAGACCGCCAGCUAAGGUCCCAAAGUCAUGGUUAAGUGGGAAACGAUGUGGGAAGGCACAGACAGCCAGGAUGUUGGCUUAGAAGCAGCCAUCAUUUAAAGAAAGCGUAAUAGCUCACUGGUCGAGUCGGCCUGCGCGGAAGAUGUAACGGGGCUAAACCAUGCACCGAAGCUGCGGCAGCGACACUAUGUGUUGUUGGGUAGGGGAGCGUUCUGUAAGCCUGCGAAGGUGACCUGUGAGGGUUGCUGGAGGUAUCAGAAGUGCGAAUGCUGACAUAAGUAACGAUAAAGCGGGUGAAAAGCCCGCUCGCCGGAAGACCAAGGGUUCCUGUCCAACGUUAAUCGGGGCAGGGUGAGUCGACCCCUAAGGCGAGGCCGAAAGGCGUAGUCGAUGGGAAACAGGUUAAUAUUCCUGUACUUGGUGUUACUGCGAAGGGGGGACGGAGAAGGCUAUGUUAGCCGGGCGACGGUUGUCCCGGUUUAAGCAUGUAGGCUGAUUGUCCAGGCAAAUCCGGAUAAUCAAGGCUGAGGUGUGAUGACGAGGCACUACGGUGCUGAAGUAACAAAUGCCCUGCUUCCAGGAAAAGCCUCUAAGCAUCAGGUAACAUUAAAUCGUACCCCAAACCGACACAGGUGGUCAGGUAGAGAAUACCAAGGCGCUUGAGAGAACUCGGGUGAAGGAACUAGGCAAAAUGGUGCCGUAACUUCGGGAGAAGGCACGCUGGUGUGUAGGUGAAGUCCCUGCGGAUGGAGCUGAGACCAGUCGAAGAUACCAGCUGGCUGCAACUGUUUAUUAAAAACACAGCACUGUGCAAACACGAAAGUGGACGUAUACGGUGUGACGCCUGCCCGGUGCCGGAAGGUUAAUUGAUGGGGUUAUCCGUAAGGAGAAGCUCUUGAUCGAAGCCCCGGUAAACGGCGGCCGUAACUAUAACGGUCCUAAGGUAGCGAAAUUCCUUGUCGGGUAAGUUCCGACCUGCACGAAUGGCGUAAUGAUGGCCAGGCUGUCUCCACCCGAGACUCAGUGAAAUUGAACUCGCUGUGAAGAUGCAGUGUACCCGCGGCAAGACGGAAAGACCCCGUGAACCUUUACUAUAGCUUGACACUGAACAUUGAGCCUUGAUGUGUAGGAUAGGUGGGAGGCUUUGAAGCGUGGACGCCAGUCUGCGUGGAGCCAACCUUGAAAUACCACCCUUUAAUGUUUGAUGUUCUAACGUUGGCCCCUGACCGGGGUUGCGGACAGUGUCUGGUGGGUAGUUUGACUGGGGCGGUCUCCUCCCAAAGCGUAACGGAGGAGCACGAAGGUUAGCUAAUCCUGGUCGGACAUCAGGAGGUUAGUGCAAUGGCAUAAGCUAGCUUGACUGCGAGCGUGACGGCGCGAGCAGGUGCGAAAGCAGGUCAUAGUGAUCCGGUGGUUCUGAAUGGAAGGGCCAUCGCUCAACGGAUAAAAGGUACUCCGGGGAUAACAGGCUGAUACCGCCCAAGAGUUCAUAUCGACGGCGGUGUUUGGCACCUCGAUGUCGGCUCAUCACAUCCUGGGGCUGAAGUAGGUCCCAAGGGUAUGGCUGUUCGCCAUUUAAAGUGGUACGCGAGCUGGGUUUAGAACGUCGUGAGACAGUUCGGUCCCUAUCUGCCGUGGGCGCUGGAGAAUUGAGGGGGGCUGCUCCUAGUACGAGAGGACCGGAGUGGACGCAUCACUGGUGUUCGGGUUGUCAUGCCAAUGGCACUGCCCGGUAGCUAAAUGCGGAAGAGAUAAGUGCUGAAAGCAUCUAAGCACGAAACUUGCCCCGAGAUGAGUUCUCCCUGAGACUUUAAGUCUCCUGAAGGAACGUUGAAGACGACGACGUUGAUAGGCCGGGUGUGUAAGCGCAGCGAUGCGUUGAGCUAACCGGUACUAAUGAACCGUGAGGCUUAACCU
rnacentral:rRNA from 1 species